UGGGUUGCAUUCAGGUGAUGCGGGGUAGUAUCCUGCAAGUCUUA
rnacentral:tRNA from 1 species